rnacentral:rRNA from 1 species
UACGUAGGGUGCAAGCGUUAAUCGGAAUUACUGGGCGUAAAGCGUGCGCAGGCGGUUAUGUAAGACAGAUGUGAAAUCCCCGGGCUCAACCUGGGUACUGCAUUUGUGACUGCAUAGCUAGAGUACGGUAGAGGGGGAUGGAAUUCCGCGUGUAGCAGUGAAAUGCGUAGAUAUGCGGAGGAACACCGAUGGCGAAGGCAAUCCCCUGGACCUGUACUGACGCUCAUGCACGAAAGCGUGGGGAGCAAACAGG